UCAUGUUCAUACUUGCUCCUCUGAGUAUGGGUUUUGGGAUCGACAAUCUAGAAGGAGAAGCCUUUUGAUCUGUUAGGCAAUGACAACAACAAAGACCCUUAAGUCAACUUGUUGCCGCCUAGCCCAAGCUGUUUUCAUCGUGCUAAGCCUCUCCCUUCUGCUCAAGCUGGUUGUUUACCAACUUUGGCCACAAUACCAGUCUGGAUAGGUCUAUACCAAGCUCUUUCGAAUGUGGCAAAUGAUAUGGGAGACUCAGUGGAAGAGUGAAGUAUGACUUGAGUGACAAUAUCAAUUUGAAGGCUAAUGCUCAGCUUACAAAUGAGACACGUAUGUCUCAUGGCAUUGUCAAUGUUGAUUACAAGGGUCUUCUUCAAGUGAAAAAGACUUUGCAGAAAGAUUUGGGGAGAGAACCAAAUAAGGGUGAACUAGCUGAGGCAACAAGUAUGAGUGUGGUUCAAGUGAAAAAACACUUGGAAAUCGGUCGAGCUGCCAGAAACAAAGUCAUCAAGCAUACGUUCUAUGACACUAUCAAGCUUUACUCGUGUUGUCUUUGGCUUUGAGUUGGUAUCUUGCCCCCAAGACCCUAAGCUAGGUUACUGCAUUUUUUUUCACAGUAGAAUAGUGGUUAAUAUGAGUCCCUUGAUAGUAAUUGUAAUGAGAAAUAUGUAAUAACAUGCUUGGAACAUCAUCUUUAGAUCAAUGGAGUUCUAUAAAUGCUUAGUUGAUCAUUUGUAAUUUCAUGUCCUAUUUCCUAAGGGUCAUAUUCUGUUACAAGGGCUAGGAACUUAGUAGCGUGCAUAUUUAGGGCCUAAAGCUCACUGCAUUGAACUAUUAGAUUGUUUGCAUGAAAAUGAAAUUCUGGACAUAUGCAUAUUAAGAGUUCAUCUAUAGGUUGCAAGUUACAAGGAUUGCAGAAGGAUUGCAAGUUACAAGGGCCAUGACAGCUAAGAUGCUAAAGAAUUUGUUCGAGAAAUUUGCCAACCAUCAAUGAAGACUUCAUAAGAGGCAUGUUUUGGAACAAUGUGUGUAUCAACUUUUGAGUUCCCAAGUAC